UGAGCAAUCUGCCCUUCUCAUCGGAAUAAGCGUUGGAAACGACGUCUAAUGCCGAAUACGACCUCCUUUCGCAUGAUCGGAGGUGGAAAGCUCCGGCGGAGAAGGAUGAGCUCGCGGCCUAUCAGCUUGUUGGUGGGGUAAUGGCCCACCAAGGCGACGACGGGUAGCUGGUCUGAGAGGACGACCAGCCACACUGGAACUGAGAUACGGUCCAGACUCCGUAGGGAGG
rnacentral:rRNA from 1 species